AUGACUUUUAUUUCUCAUUUACUUUCAGCCACUGAAGAAACCAAGAUAAAGAAAGACAAACAAGGAAAAGGCUACCUGCUGGUUGUGGGUGCUGAGCCGAUGGACAGUGUGAAGAAGAAGGUGCAGUCUUGGCAGCGGCGCAUGAAGCAUUUUUUUCUUUGCAUGUUGAUCACUACUGCACUGUUCAGGUCCUUAAUCAAGGGGGUAGCAAAUUCUGUGCGUUUUCUUCUCUGUAUAAAUUUCGACUUGUUUGAUGUUUGUUACUCUUUUUUUUUCCUAAUUAAUCAUCUAAGUUCCUAA
rnacentral:rRNA from 1 species